rnacentral:misc_RNA from 1 species
CCGAGUUUUCAACUCCCAAACCCCUGUGAACAUACCAUUUUGUUGCCUCGGCGGUGCCUGUUCCGACAGCCCGCCAGAGGACCCCAAACCCAAAUUUCCUAGAGUGAGUCUUCUGAGUAACCGAUUAAAUUAAUCA